rnacentral:rRNA from 1 species
GGGUGUACGACCACAAUGGGACUGAGACACGGCCCAUACUCCUACGGGAGGCAGCAGUGGGGAAUUUUGUGCAAUGGGCGAAAGCCUGACACAGCGACACCGCGUGAGCGAAGAAGCCCUUUGGGGUGUAAAGCUCUGUCAGCUGGAACGAAACAAAUGACGGUACCAGCAGAGGAAGCAUCGGCUAACUACGUGCCAGCAGCCGCGGUAAGACGUAGGAUGCGAGCGUUGUCCGGAUUUAUUGGGCGUAAAGAGUUCGUAGGCGGUUUGUUAAGUCUGAUGUUAAAGAUCGGGGCUCAACCCUGGGAGUGCAUUGGAUACUGGCAAACUGGAGUGCGGUAGAGGCUAGUGGAAUUCCCAGUGUAGCGGUGAAAUGCGUAGAUAUUGGGAAGAACACCAGUGGCGUAGGCGACUAGCUGGGCCGUAACUGACGCUGAGGAACGAAAGCCAGGGGAGCGAAUGGGAUUAGAUACCCCAGUAGUCCUGGCCGUAAACGAUGGAUACUAGGCGUAGUGGGUAUCGACCCCUACUGUGCCGUAGCUAACGCGAUAAGUAUCCCGCCUGAGUAGUACGGCCGCAAGGUUGAA